rnacentral:tRNA from 1 species
GGGCCUGUGGCUCAGCCAGGUUAGACCAACGCGGACUGUUAGCGGCUGGCUCUUAACCAGCAUGCCGUGGGUUCGAAUCCCACCAGGCCCGCCA